rnacentral:rRNA from 1 species
UACGUAGGGUGCGAGCGUUAAUCGGAAUUACUGGGCGUAAAGCGUGCGCAGGCGGCUUUGCAAGACAGAUGUGAAAUCCCCGGGCUCAACCUGGGAACUGCAUUUGUGACUGCAAGGCUAGAGUACGGCAGAGGGGGGAUGGAAUUCCGCGUGUAGCAGUGAAAUGCGUAGAUAUGCGGAGGAACACCAAUGGCGAAGGCAAUCCCCUGGGCCUGUACUGACGCUCAUGCACGAAAGCGUGGGGAGCAAACAGG